rnacentral:rRNA from 1 species
ACACAGGGAUGCCUCAGUAACGGCGAGUGAAGCGGCAACAGCUCAAAUUUGAAAUCUGGCCUCCACGGCCCGAGUUGUAAUUUGUAGAGGAUGUUUUGGGUACCGCCGCGGUUUAAAUUUCUUGGAACAGAAUGUCACAGAGGGUGAGAAUCCCGUCUUGGACCGCGGUAGGGCCUGUGUAAAACUCCUUCGACGAGUCGACUUGUUUGGGAAUGCAGGUCAAAAUGGGUGGUAAAUUUCAUCUAAAGCUAAAUAUUGGCCAGAGACCGAUAGCGCACAAGUAGAGUGAUCGAAAGAUGAAAAGCACUUUGAAAAGAGAGUUAAACAGUAUGUGAAAUUGUUGAAAGGGAAGCGCUGGCCACCAGACUCGUGCGCGGGGUUCCCCUCAGUUUCGGCUGGGGCUACUUCCCCGUGUCCGGGCCAUCAUCAGUUUUGGGGGCCGGUCAAAGGUUCCAGGAAUGUAUCCACGCCUUCGGGGGUGGACUUAUAGCCUGGGGCGUCAUGCGGCCACCCGGGACUGAGGAACGCGCUUCGGCGAGGAUGAUGGCGUAAUGGUGGUCAGCGACCCGUCUUGAAACACGGACCAAGGAGUCUAACAUCUAUGCGAGUGUUCGGGUGUCAAACCCUGGCGCGGAAUGAAAGUGAACGGAGGUAGGAAGGCUCUCGCCUGCACUAUCGACCGAUCUGGAUGUCUUCGGAUGGAUUUGAGUAAGAGCAUAGCUGUUGGGACACGAAAGAUGGUGAGCUAUGCGAGAAUAGGGUGAAGCCAGAGGAAACUCUCGCGGAGGCCCGCAGCGGUUAUGACGUGCAAAUCGAUCGUCAAAUCCGUGUAUAAGGCAGAAAG